UCCACAGCCGACGGCGAUCCCCCACCUCUACCUCUCCCUCCCCCACACCCACUCCACCGCAGCCUCCCUACAGAUCUGGCGACGCCUCCGCUAGGCGGGAUGGCCACGACGUCCACGUGCUCGGCAUCCAUGGUGGCCGCACACCAGACGACCCCAACGGCCGUGCACUUGAUGGCCACUUCGGAUCUUGGCCUAGUGGACAACGAUGACCAGAUCUAUUGGCAGGGAGGAUCUCAGUUGCCUCCUCGGCGACCUCUCGUCAGCCACAACCAUAUAAUUUGGAAGGUUGGUUCAUAAUGAAUAAGGAUAAUGUCUGAUUACCUUUUGUGCAAUAGAUAAUGCUCACUACAACCUAGUAUUUGUUCUCGCAUUGGGAUCUCUUUUGUGGCCAUGCGCGUGAUGGCCACUUCGGAUCUUCGCCUAGUGAACAACGAUGACCAGAUCUACCGGCAGGGAGGAUCUCGGUUGCCUCCUCGGCGACCUCUCGUCGGCCACAACCAUAUCAUUUGGGAGGAUGGCCACUUCGGAUCUUGGCCUAGUGGACAACGACGACCAGAUAUACUGGCAGGGAGGAUCUCGGUUGCCUCCUCAGCGACCUCUCGUCGGCCACAACCAUGUCAUUUGGGAGACCUUGGCCUAGUGGACAACGACGACCAGAUCUACCGGCAGGGAGGAUCUCGGUUGCCUCCUCGGCGACCCCUUGUCGUCCACAACCAUAUCAUUUGGAAGGAGUAAAAAAUAACUAGACGAGGGGAUAAAGCAAUUGAUUUGAAUGAGCCACCACGCAGCAAACAAAGGUGUGGCAAAGCUCAUCACCAAGUUAGCAACAAUUUUGCCUCGAGCAGCGCCCAUAUCCCAUCACCAUAUCUCAUCCAUCCACGUGAGAAUCCCGUUUGCCCCAACUGAAGCAAAUAGUCCC